AUUUAUUCUAUUCUAUUGUAAAAAAAUCGAUUUCUAUUCUAUAGUCAUUCAGCAGACGCUUUUUCCAAAGCGACUUACAUUUGAGAGUAAGAACAAAACAAGCAAGAAUUCAAACAAGAUGGGACAUCAUAAUUAAGUGGUAGU